UCUAAGUGCUAUAACAACAGGGGGAAGAUGGCUCAGAGUUAGGCUGGAGAGGGGCGGUGUCCCUUCCGCCGCAGCCGCGGGGUUUCUGCUACAUCCCAUUCGCCACCUCCGCCAUCCUUUUUUCUGUGUGAGCAGAAGGGCUUGCAGUUGUUCUCUCCUGCCUAGUGUCUUCCAAGGGAUAGAUGCCAUUUCUUCUGCUGGUCUCUGGGGGUGAGGAGGGGCGCAGGGGAGCUUCUUGGGGGAAUCGCUCCAACUCUGUGGAGCUGGUGGUGCUGCCUGGUGGGGCUCUCUCUGCCCAGGACGUGGAACAACUUUCAGCCGGAGGACUAGAGGAAAUAGUUGUAGGGGAGGAAAAAUUGUUUCCUUCUAGCCUUUUAGGUCAUUUGGCUGGUCUACAAAUUAAAUUGAUGUAAGACAGAGGAACAUGAGAAAAACGAUUUGUCGACCGAAAGGUGAAAUAACAGGAUUUUAAACAUUUUGUAGACGAUAACAUUCGUCUUGAAGCUGUGGACAAUCUAAAACAGAAAUGGAGUUCCAAAUUUUGUUUUUGUAAUAUGGCCCGUCAACUGCACAUGGGAAGAAUUCUGGAAUUUUGCCGCUUCUUGGUUGACAGAAUCCAAGGGUAUAUUGUCACAGUUUUUAAAUACUAGUGGCAAGAUCACAACAGAAAGGAAGAGUUUCAAGACGUGAGUGACAUGGGAUAAAGGAGGAAGCUCCCCAAGGAACAGAUGAUGGUGACAGCAGUACCAGUAGCAGCAGGAGCAGAGAAGACUCCAGCCUGAUGUCUAUGGGACCUGAGUCCACACUGUGGAGGGCACAAGCUGUGGGAGGGCCUGGAAGACACGCCUCAGAGAUUCUCCCAGUCCUGCCACCCUGUGGGAGACACUUCAAAGGAAUCGUAAACUCAUGUGACCAGCAGGGAGGACAACGAUGAAGAAACUUUCCUGCCUAAAAUCAGCUGCUGUCCAGAGCUAGCACCUGGAAGGAGACACUCCCUCUCCUGGGGUCACAUCUUCACUGCAAGGCGGGUGGGAGCUCACUGCUGUGACCCACAUAUACUCCUCUCUCGGCGUCUCUAUCCUGCUGCUUUCUCUGACUGCAUCUUCCUCUGUUCCUUGGUCAGUGUUUGAGAAGAGAAUGUUGAACAAGUCACAUCCUUGUCACUCUGAGUCAGAACCCUCAUUUGACUUGGAAGAUUUGUGCUUCCGUUUUUUCUUCUUUUUCUUUUCUUUCUUCCUUUUCUUAUGCUUUUCUUUCUUCUUCUUUUUCUUGUGUUUCUCUUUACCUUCAGAGGAACUGGAGCUGCUCCUAUCUUCAUCUGAGGUA